rnacentral:rRNA from 1 species
GACGAACGCUGGCGGCGUGCUUAACACAUGCAAGUCGAACGGAUCACAGACCUUCGGGUCUGUGGUUAGUGGCGAACGGGUGAGUAACACGUGAGCAACCUACCCUUCGACUCCGGAAUAACAGCUGGAAACAGCUGCUAAUACCGGAUACGACCUUCGACGGCAUCAUCUGGAGGUGGAAAGGACCCCGACCGGUCAAGGAGUGGGCGUCGCGGCCUAUCAGCUUGUUGGUGAGGUAACGGCUCACCAA